GAUGAAGAACGCAGCGAAAUGCGAUACUUGGUGUGAAUUGCAGAAUCCCGUGAACCAUCGAGUCUUUGAACGCAAGUUGCGCCUCAAGCCAUUAGGUUGAGGGCACGUCUGCCUGGGCGUCACAUAUCGUUGCCUGAUGCCAGUUUCCUCGUGAUGGGUGACUGUGCAGGGCGAAUGAUGGCUUCCCGUGAGCAUUGUUGCCUCAUGGUUGGUUGAAAAUUGAGUCCUUGGUAGGGAGCGCCGUGAUAGAUGGUGGUUGAGUGACGAACGAGACCCAAUCAUGUGAGACCCCUACCGAAUUUGGCCUUCAUGACCCACAUGCGUCUUUGGAACGCUCAUGACGAGACCUCAGGUCAGGCGGGGCUACCCGCUGAGUUUAAGCAUAACAAUAAGCGGAGGA
rnacentral:misc_RNA from 1 species